rnacentral:rRNA from 1 species
GAAGCGUUGUCCGGAAUUAUUGGGCGUAAAGGGCUCGCAGGCGGUUUCUUAAAUCUGAUGUGAAAGCCCCCGGCUCAACCGGGGAGGGUCAUUGGAAACUGGGGAACUUGAGUGCAGAAGAGGAGAGUGGAAUUCCACGUGAGCGGUGAAAUGCGUAGAGAUGUGGAGGAACACCAGUGGCGAAGGCGACUCUCUGGUCUGUAACUGACGCUGAGGAGCGAAAGCGUGGGGAGCGAACAGGAUUAGAUACCCUGGUAGUCCACGCCGUAAACGAUGAGUGCUAAGUGUUAGAGGGUUUCCGCCCCUUAGUGCUGCAGCUAACGCAUUAAGCACUCCGCCUGGAGAGUACGGUCGCAAGACUGAAAACUCAAAGGAAUUGACGGGGGCCCGCACAAGCGGUGGAGCAUGUGGUUUAAUUCGAAGCAACGCGAAGAACCUUACCAGGUCUUGACAUCCUCUGACAAUCCUAGAGAUAGGACGUCCCCUUCGGGGGCAGAGUGACAGGUGGUGCAUGGUUGUCGUCAGCUCGUGUCGUGAGAUGUUGGGUUAAGUCCCGCAACGAGCGCAACCCUUGAUCUUAGUUGCCAGCA